rnacentral:lncRNA from 1 species
AAAAAAAAAAAAAACAAACACAAAUUAAAGAGAAGGCAAUUACAAAUUUCACAGCUGGAUUAUUAGUGCAAUUCACCACUUCAAGUGGAAAAAGUAAACAAAGGCUCCAUUCUGCAGACUUAACAAACACAUAUAGGACACAUAUAUGACCUGACAGAAUUACAGACUUCACUAAAAUAACACAAAAUAGAACAAACAAACAUACAUUUUACAAAUAAGCAAGCACAUAAAAUCCAAAAUCAAACAAAGUAAACAAACAGACUCAUUUCUGAAUUCAUUAUUAAUGCACCAAACACAUGAGGCCCAUCUGCCUUAUGGAAUAUGACUGAUUUCACUCAUAUUUACCCAUGUAAAUAACUGGAAAAUGAUACAGAUCAAAAAGUCCAAAGGAAGCAAUAAGAAAUCCAUUUAAACAUUUAAUUCAACUCUUCCACACAUUUCCAUUCAAAUCCAGUAAAGACAGGAUAUUCAGACUUGGUCACCUCCACAUUAAACUACGGUUUGUUGAUGAUCACACAGCCAACUUGAUUCAGAGGUUUGAGUGUAAAGACGACAGUCCGAGUUAGUAGCCAGGGGUCUGAUCUUGUCCUGAAUGAAUGUGUCAUCACCCAGACGAGGUUCCAGCAUGAGCAUGUAGGAGAUCCGUGUUUCUCUUCUGAUCACAUCAGUUGGUUUGUGGAAGUUGGACAAACGCACUCUCAAGCAGCUCAAGGAAAUGAAAGAACUGUGACAGGAAUCAGAGCUCCGUCCUUUAAUCAACACAAAGUAAGCUUGCCCUGGUCCACUGGGGGGCUGCAGGUGGGCUUCAGUAGGGCUGGGCAAGAACAGCCUGUAUUAGCUGACUCUCUUCAGGUUGUUGGAGCGUCUGCGGCGGAAGCAGGCUGGGAGACAGCGCUUUUCUGUGGGGGAGUUGGGGACACCCAAGGCACUGGCCUGCUUCCUGUACAGAGACAAAGAGAAGGAGAAUGUCAGUCAAAUAUAAAUAAUGACCCUAAAUACUACAGUAUAAUUAUCCAGACACCUCACUUCUAGUGAGUCACCUAAGCCACGUUCAUGUUUAUCUAUUGCUUGUACAAUACUGCUUGUAAAAUAUAUAAUCAACAUAGAAAAGCACUCCUUUUGACCAAUAAAAUAUAAUAAAAGAUUUUCUGUAGUAGCUUU